rnacentral:lncRNA from 12 species
CGGAGAACGCGGCGGCGGCGGCGGCGGAGGCGCCCCGUCCUUCCCGUCCGUCCGCUCGCCCGCGAAGCCUUCCCCCGUGCGGUGCGGGCGGGCCGGCGCGGUGCCGGCCCGCUGGCCGCGAGGGACGUGAGAGAGGAGGGAGCGCGUGUGUGCGUGUCCGUCCGCGGGGCGAGGACGGGGCCGCGUGAGGAGGAGGCAGGGGGAAGGAAGGGGCCGCGCCCGCCGCCGGGAGGCGCGGUGGAAGCGCUCGCCUGGGGCUGCCGCCGGGUCGUCCACUCGCCGCCCCCUCGGCGGCGGCGGCGGCGGCUCGUCCCCCUGCCCCUCCGGGGCCCCCCUCCCUUCCGCGGCCCGCCUUUCGCCUUCCGGCGCCGGUCGUUCCCCGGUCGCCGCGUCGCCCCGCACGGGGGUGCCCUCGGCGCGUCUCGGGACGCGUGCGACGCGGCGGCGGUGCCCUCCGCGGUGUCGUCGUCGUCCUCCUCCUCCUGCGGGGGGGGGGGAGCGUCGGCCCGCGCGGGGGCGCCCGCCGCCCGGCGCGCGCCUCCCGCCGCCCGCCCUGGACGGUCCUCCGGUCAGGCGGGCGUCCGCGCCAUCUCCGCCCUCCCGCUCGUCGCCUCUCCCUCUCCCACCCCGGCCCACCCCCCGCCUCUGGGGCCUCGGGGCCCGGGUCCGGCUCUCCCCUUCUCCGUCGCCGCCCCCGCCGCCCCCCUCCCCUGGCCCUGCCCGCUCACGCCCCGCUUCCCGCUGCGGGCCCCCCCCCGCCCUCCGUGGCGAGGCGGGGCCCGGGUCGCGGUUGUGGGGAGGGCCGGGGGUCGGCCGGCCGGGUGUUUUCUCCUAAGGCGAGGCGAGGUGGUGGCUCCCGGGGGUGUUCCUCGGAAGCGAGGGGAUCCGGCCGGCCCCGCCCCCGGUGGCUUUUGGGGGCGGGGGAGAGACCGGGGAGAGAGAGGGAGGCUGGCUGUCGGGCGGUGGCGGGGCCCGCGUCGCGGCGCCCGCCGGGCCCUGGUCCGUCACGGGCCGGCAGCGUCGGGGGGCUCGCGCCCCUCGCUUGGCGGUGUCGGCCGCGGCCGGCCGGGGGGAGGAUCGGCGUCGGGGCGGCGGCGGCGGCGGCCUUUGGCCUCGCUCCCCCGCGCCCCGCCUCGCCCGUCCCCCCCCACCCUCUGUCCAGGUACCUAG